GACGGAGGGGGCAAGCGUUGUUCGGAAUUAUUGGGCGUAAAGGGCUCGUAGGCGGACCGGUGUGUCUGGCGUGAAAUCUCCACUGCUUAACAGGGAGGGGCCGCUGGAAACUGCCGAUCUUGAGUAUGGUAGAGGACCAUGGAAUUUCGGGUGUAGCGGUGGAAUGCGUAGAUAUCUGCAGGAACACCCGUGGCGAAGGCGGCUCGCUGGACCGCAACUGACGCUGAGGAACGAAAGCUAGGGGAGCAAACAGG
rnacentral:rRNA from 1 species